UUUAUGAAUGGAUGUUGAGUUUAAUUUUUUUUUUUUCCUGUUUCCUUUAAAACCUCACAGGUCAGUGCCCUUGGGAUUUUGUCUAAAUGUCUUAUUUCUACAGGAGGCAGAAGCGAAGCAAGGAACUAUACCUCUGUCUUCAAGCGUUGUCAUGAAUUUUGGAUUGUCAGCUGAAAACACAAACAGAAAAACAGCAGCUGCAGGCAAGAGGUAA
rnacentral:lncRNA from 1 species